AUGAGGCCAGCAUGGGGCAACCCUAGGGGCUUGCUGCUCCAUCCCUCCGGAGACAAUGUUUUUGUAGCUGAAUUUGGUACCCAGGCGGAUAGGACCAUGGUGAUCAAAGGCUCGCCUUGGAUGGUGGGCAAGCAUGUUGUUCUUCUCAAGGUUUUUGAUCUGAACAUCCAACCUCUUCAUGUCAAGUUUGAUAGUUUGGCUAUCUGGGCCCGUAUCAUGAAUUUGCCACCAAGAUUGAUGAAGGCAAAGCUCGGAAUGGAAUUUGCAAAGCCUGUUGGGAGCAUUAUCAAGGUGGAAGGGGAUGCUGAUGGACGUUGCUGGGGCGGAUAUAUGCGUGUUCGAGUAGAGAUUGUUGUCCAAGAGCCACUUGUUUGCUACAUGACGGUGACCUCGCUCAAACUUCAAACUACAAACACCUAUGAUGUGAUGUAUGAAAGGCUUCCUUUUGAAUUCGUCUCGUGUGGCCUCCUUGGUAACUCCUCGGUCAUGUGCCCUUCCCCGGGUAUCAGGGAUGGUAAUGGGGACCUGCCAUAUGUGGCCAAGAAGAUCCGUGUCCAGGAUGACAACCACAAAAAAUCUGGUGGAUCCAAGUCUUCUAUUGCUUCUUCAUCUGUUGGGUCUGAGGACAAGGCGGGUGGCAAUCGUUCAGUCCCCUCUGGUCGCGCUAAGGUUGCUGCUCUUGAUAGAUCUACUGCGGCCGAGGUGGAGGUCUCCUCUCCUCUCAAGCGGGCUGGAAGGGGGCAUGGUCGUGCUCCCUCUUCGCGUGGACAAGGCAGAGGAAGGUCAGCGGCCACCAAUAGAGAGCUCUUCACGGGCAGUCAGGACAAGAUUGGUUCAUCUGGGCAAAAGAGGAAAUCGGUGAAGUCUCCUUCCCCAGCUUUGGUUUGUGCCCCGGAGCCGACCGACGCCAAGACUUUGGCUCUGGUUUUGGUGACAGACCCUUUGGCUGCUUCUGUUGGAAAUAUGCCCUAG
rnacentral:rRNA from 1 species